rnacentral:rRNA from 1 species
CCUACGGGAGGCAGCAGUGGGGAAUCUUGCGCAAUGGGCGAAAGCCUGACGCAGCCAUGCCGCGUGAAUGAUGAAGGUCUUAGGAUUGUAAAAUUCUUUCACCGGGGACGAUAAUGACGGUACCCGGAGAAGAAGCCCCGGCUAACUUCGUGCCAGCAGCCGCGGUAAUACGAAGGGGGCUAGCGUUGCUCGGAAUUACUGGGCGUAAAGGGAGCGUAGGCGGAUAGUUUAGUCAGAGGUGAAAGCCCAGGGCUCAACCUUGGAAUUGCCUUUGAUACUGGCUAUCUUGAGUAUGGAAGAGGUAUGUGGAACUCCGAGUGUAGAGGUGAAAUUCGUAGAUAUUCGGAAGAACACCAGUGGCGAAGGCGACAUACUGGUCCAUUACUGACGCUGAGGCUCGAAAGCGUGGGGAGCAAACAGGAUUAGAUACCCUGGUAGUCCACGCCGUAAACGAUGAGUGCUAGUUGUCGGCANGCANGCAUGUCGGUGACGCAGCUACGACAUAAGUACACGUCCGCCGUCGGGAGGUACGGUCGGCGAAGAAGUUAAACGUUAACUAAAGUUAGUUAAGUUAGUUACGGCGUGAGACGNGCCGACGGACGACGACGAGGGAGGAGG